rnacentral:SRP_RNA from 1 species
CCGCACUAGUCGGGGAGUUAGCGGUGCCCUGUCACCUGCAACCCGCUACAGCAGGGAUGAAUUCCGGCCCGAGGGUCUGGGAUGUGGCGUCCGCCUUUGGUAAGCGGCGUUGACGAAUCGGUCCUGCGCAACGUGAAAUUGCGAACCAUGUCAGGCGGGGAACCGAGCAGCAUUAAGCAAACCUUCGCGUGUGCCGCAGGGCGGCCGGUUCCGAGCUGGCUGCCAAUGAAGCGGUCAUAUCUCAUAUUCAGAGGCCGGUGUGCGG